rnacentral:rRNA from 1 species
AACGAACGCUGGCGGCAUGCCUAACACAUGCAAGUCGAACGAGACCUUCGGGUCUAGUGGCGCACGGGUGCGUAACGCGUGGGAACCUGCCCUUAGGUUCGGAAUAACUCCCCGAAAGGGGUGCUAAUACCGGAUAAUGUCUUCGGACCAAAGAUUUAUCGCCUUUGGAUGGGCCCGCGUUGGAUUAGCUAGUUGGUAGGGUAAAAGCCUACCAAGGCGACGAUCCAUAGCUGGCCUGAGAGGAUGAUCAGCCACACUGGGACUGAGACACGGCCCAGACUCCUACGGGAGGCAGCAGUGGGGAAUAUUGGGCAAUGGGCGAAAGCCUGAUCCAGCAAUGCCGCGUGAGUGAUGAAGGCCUUAGGGUUGUAAAGCUCUUUUACCCGGGAUGAUAAUGACAGUACCGGGAGAAUAAGCUCCGGCUAACUCCGUG